CUAUUACUCCCUCCGUUCGGAAUUACUUGUCGCAGAAAUGGAUGUAUCUAGACGUAUUUUAGUUCUAGAUACAUCCAUUUUCGAGACAAGUAAUUCCGAACGGAGGGAGUACUAC
rnacentral:pre_miRNA from 1 species